UACAGGGGGUGCAAACGUUGCUCGGAAUCAUUGGGCGUAAAGCGCACGUAGGCGGUUCGUUAUGUCGGAUGUGAAAGCCCUUGGCUUAACCGAGGAAGUGCAUCCGAAACUGGCGAGCUAGAGUACUAAAGAGGAUCGCGGAAUUCCCGGUGUAGAGGUGAAAUUCGUAGAUAUCGGGAGGAACACCGGUGGCGAAGGCGGCGAUCUGGGUAGAUACUGACGCUGAGGUGCGAAAGCGUGGGGAGCAGAAC
rnacentral:rRNA from 1 species